AUUGGCCGAUGGAUUGUACGUCAACGGCGCCGCCAUAUUGGUCCAGGCAGCUUGCCGUAACUGGACUGAGAAACGAACCCUGAUUAUUUUGAGCUUUUACAAACCAUCGUACAAUCCAAACCAUUUCUCGGGGAAUUACCUUUCACAUCCAGUGUCAGCCAGGAUAACGCAAACGUCAAGGAAGACUGAAGAAAGCCUGUCAGUGGACUGUUCUCUGCUUUUCCAACAGACUGCACCUCUUUUGCCAAUCAUAUGAUUAUAUGA